rnacentral:rRNA from 1 species
UAGGGAAUAUUGGACAAUGGGUGAGAGCCUGAUCCAGCCAUGCCGCGUGCAGGAAGAAGGCGUUAUGCGUUGUAAACUGCUUUUGCCAGGGGAUAAAAAGACCGUACGCGGUUAAUUGAAGGUACCUGGUGAAUAAGCCACGGCUAACUACGUGCCAGCAGCCGCGGUAAUACGUAGGUGGCAAGCGUUGUCCGGAUUUAUUGGGUUUAAAGGGUGCGUAGGCGGCCCCGUAAGUCAGUGGUGAAAUACGGCAGCUCAACUGUCGAGGUGCCAUUGAUACUGCGGGGCUUGAGUAUGGACGAGGUAAGCGGAAUUGACGGUGUAGCGGUGAAAUGCUUAGAUAUCGUCAAGAACACCGAUAGCGAAGGCAGCUUACUAGGCCAUAACUGACGCUGAGGCACGAAGGUGCGGGGAUCAAACAGGAUUAGAUACCCAUGUAGUCCCUGAGCGGGCUGGCAAGGCGCAU